UAGGAAUUGGCGGGGGAGCGCACAACCGGUGGAGCAUGUGGUUUAAUUCGAUACAAAGCGAAAAACCUUACCUGGGUUUGACAUGUAACUGCACGGCUUAUGAAAGUAAGCCUUCUUCGAGAGUGUUACACAGGUGUUGCAUGGCUGUCGUCAGCUCGUGUCGUGAGGCGUCCACUUAAGUGUGGUAACGAGCGCAACCCUUAUUCUGUGUUACAAGUGUCACAGAAGACUGCCCUGCUUUUUGCAGGGAGGAAGGAGAGGAUGACGUCAAGUCAGCACGACCCUUACAUCCAGGGCUACACACAUCCUACAAUGGAGCCGACAACGGGAAGCAAGAUCGCAAGAUGGAGCUAAUCCUUAAACGGCCCCUCAGUUCAGAUUGCGGGCUGCAAUUCGCCCGCAUGAAGUCGGAAUCGGUAGUAAUCGCAAAUCAGCAGGUUGCGGUGAAUACGUUCUCGCUCCUUGUACACACUGCCCGUCAAACCAGCAAAGUUAGCAGCACCCGAAGCGGGUGUUCCAACAUCCUUGUGAUGAGGGACCCUUCUACGGCGAGAUGGCGAUGAGG
rnacentral:rRNA from 1 species